CUUGAUCCUCUCUUUAGCUUUCAGCCUCUGCUGCUAUAUGUAAUUAACUUCUUCAAUUUGUUUCUUAUAAGACCUAAAACACAGUUCCUAUUUAUAGCUAUAUUUUAUUCUGUUUCUUUAAAGUCUUCUAUUUUCCCUUCUCUUUUUACUCAGUGGAGCUGAGAUUGGAAGGUUCGUUUCCAUGCUGCGAUAGCCUUCAACAAUACUAAAGGCUUGUGCUGCAUUUGCUCUUCUUCAGGUAGAAGAUUAUUCUGUGUGUGUGUCUAACGGUCCUCGGAAAUUUGUGGAAAAAAAGGGAUUAACUGUCAUUGUCCUUGGCUAAUUUCUAUUUUUGAUUGCAGCUUACCAUCCCAGGGGGCCGGCAUGCGCAGCAUCACGUUAGCCUUCUGCAGAACGCUGGAGCAUCACGGGUGAUUCGAGCUGCAGCAGCCGCAACAGGUGGCCUGCUUGAAGCAAAAAUCUUCGCAAAAAUUGUACUUCGGAAUGUGGAAUUUUAGAGAAUCUCUCUGAAGAAUUGUUGAGCGGGUUGUGUUAUCUCAAGCUAGAACUCAUCAGCUGUUGCCAAUGCCAUUUGCUUUUAGGUCAGCAUUUUCUUGUCAUUGGUGCUAUAUGAGAUCCUCCUGAAGGACCUGUAGUUCAGUGCAAACUUAAUUUAGGUGGGCUGCAUAUUUCUCUGGGAUAUGGAGUGAUUUGCUUCUAUAUUUGUUAUCGUUCGAUUCGUCAUUGAUGGAUUGCCCUUAACCUCGUACCACUGAGAAAUGAAGCAUGGUGCUGGAAACAUGUUUCAUUACCCGUGUGGAUUUCGAGCAACUUGUAUGCAAGUUUCCUAUGGUUGCACAUUUUUUACAUUCAUUAGUAUCCUAUAGGUUUUCACUUGGGAACAUUUGAGGUCAUGUUGAUGUAGUAAAAAUAAGUUGAACUUUCUUCUAUGAUGUUCUUUUUUUCCUAGAAAAUCAACCUCAAAAACAAGGUUUAGACAUGAUGGCAUGUCUGCUAGGAAAGAUUGGAUAAUACUGGGCAGAAUUAGCAAAUAAUCCAACAUGUGAUUUGUCA
rnacentral:lncRNA from 1 species